GAUGAAGAACGCAGCGAAAUGCGAUAAGUAAUGCGAAUUGCAGAAUCCGUGAAUCAUCGAAUCUUUGAACGCACAUUGCGCCCGCCAGUAUUCUGGCGGGCAUGCCUGUUCGAGCGUCAUUUCAACCAUCAAGCCCCAGGCUUGUGUUGGGGACCUGCGGCUGCCGCAGGCCCUGAAAACCAGUGGCGGGCUCGCUGUCACACCGGGCGUAGUAGAUUUUAUCUCGCUCAGGGCGUGCUGCGGGUUCCGGCCGUUAAAAAGCCUUUUUUACCCAAGGUUGACCUCGGAUCAGGUAGGAAUACCCGCUGAACUUAAGCAUAUCAAUAAGCGGAGGA
rnacentral:misc_RNA from 1 species